AUGAACGCUGGCGGCGUGCUUAACACAUGCAAGUCGAACGAAGAAGGUUAGAAUGAGAGCUUCGGCAGGAUUUCUUUCCAUCUUAGUGGCGGACGGGUGAGUAACGUGUGGGCAACCUGCCCUGUACUGUGGAAUAAUCAUUGGAAACGAUGACUAAUACCGCAUGUGGUCCUCGGAAGGCAUCUUCUGAGGAAGAAAGGAUUUAUUCGGUACAGGAUGGGCCCGCAUCUGAUUAGCUAGUUGGUGAGAUAACAGCCCACCAAGGCGACGAUCAGUAGCCGACCUGAGAGGGUGAUCGGCCACAUUGGGACUGAGACACGGCCCAAACUCCUACGGGAGGCAGCAGUGGGGAAUAUUGCACAAUGGGCGAAAGCCUGAUGCAGCAACGCCGCGUGAAGGAUGAAGGGUUUCGGCUCGUAAACUUCUAUCAAUAGGGAAGAAACAAAUGACGGUACCUAAAUAAGAAGCCCCGGCUAACUACGUGCCAGCAGCCGCGGUAAUACGUAGGGGGCAAGCGUUAUCCGGAAUUACUGGGUGUAAAGGGAGCGUAGGCGGCAUGGUAAGCCAGAUGUGAAAGCCUUGGGCUUAACCCGAGGAUUGCAUUUGGAACUAUCAAGCUAGAGUACAGGAGAGGAAAGCGGAAUUCCUAGUGUAGCGGUGAAAUGCGUAGAUAUUAGGAAGAACACCAGUGGCGAAGGCGGCUUUCUGGACUGAAACUGACGCUGAGGCUCGAAAGCGUGGGGAGCAAACAGGAUUAGAUACCCUGGUAGUCCACGCCGUAAACGAUGAGUGCUAGGUGUCGGGGAGGAAUCCUCGGUGCCGCAGCUAACGCAAUAAGCACUCCACCUGGGGAGUACGACCGCAAGGUUGAAACUCAAAGGAAUUGACGGGGGCCCGCACAAGCGGUGGAGCAUGUGGUUUAAUUCGAAGCAACGCGAAGAACCUUACCAGGCCUUGACAUCCCUUGCAGAGGUAUAGAGAUAUAUCCGAGGUUAUCAAGGAGACAGGUGGUGCAUGGUUGUCGUCAGCUCGUGUCGUGAGAUGUUGGGUUAAGUCCCGCAACGAGCGCAACCCUUAUCUUCAGUAGCCAUCAUUCAGUUGGGCACUCUGGAGAGACUGCCGUGGAUAACACGGAGGAAGGUGGGGAUGACGUCAAAUCAUCAUGCCCCUUAUGUCUUGGGCUACACACGUGCUACAAUGGCUGGUAACAAAGUGACGCGAGACGGCGACGUUAAGCAAAUCACAAAAACCCAGUCCCAGUUCGGAUUGUAGUCUGCAACUCGACUACAUGAAGCUGGAAUCGCUAGUAAUCGCGAAUCAGCAUGUCGCGGUGAAUACGUUCCCGGGCCUUGUACACACCGCCCGUCACACCAUGGGAGUUGGAAGUACCCGAAGUCGGUGACCUAACCGUAAGGAAGGAGCCGCCGAAGGUGAAGCCAGUGACUGGGGUG
rnacentral:rRNA from 1 species